GUUUGCAUGUGUGUGGAUGGCUUUCAGCACCGGGGACAGGUAUGUUUACAUGUGUGUGGAUGGUGUUCAGCACCAGGGACAGGUAUGUUUACAU
rnacentral:pre_miRNA from 1 species